GACGAACGCUGGCGGCGUGCUUAACACAUGCAAGUCGAACGGAAAGGCCUGCUUUCCCUUGUGGAUUGCGGGUACUCGAGUGGCGAACGGGUGAGUAACACGUGAGUGAUCUGCCCCCAACUUGGGUAUAAGCCUGGGAAACUGGGUCUAAUUCCCGAUAGGACUGCAGGGUGGUGCCUGUGGUGGAAAACGAUUUUCUAGUGGUUGGGGAUGAGCUCGCGGCCUAUCAGCUUGUUGGUGGGGUAAUGGCCUACCAAGGCGGCGACGGGUAGCCGGCCUGAGAGGGUGGACGGCCACAUUGGGACUGAGAUACGGCCCAGACUCCUACGGGAGGCAGCAGUGGGGAAUAUUGCACAAUGGGCGGAAGCCUGAUGCAGCGACGCCGCGUGGGGGAUGACGGCCUUCGGGUUGAAAACUCCUUUCGACCGCGAGGAAGCCACCUGGUUGGAAGGGUGGUGACGGUAGUGGUAGAAGAAGCACCGGCUAACUACGUG
rnacentral:rRNA from 1 species